rnacentral:lncRNA from 1 species
CCUGGGGCCGGGAAGUCAGGAGGGAGGGGGGCUGUCCCGGACUCGGUGGUACUGUCUGCCUGUCAAGCCCCCAGUGACCCUGACUGAGGAGGCCGAGGAGGGGGUGAUCUACACAGUGACCACACGCCAGCCCGGGGGCGCCCAGCCAGGGGCCCCGGUGGGGGCAGGGAGCCAGGCCCGCUCGCUGAAGGCCGGGUCGCUGGUCCGGCUGGUUCGGCACCUGCUGGAGGCCCAGAUGCUGGGCGACACCACCUACGUUCCUGCCUUCCUGGUCACCUACCGGGUGUUUGCUCACCCUCCUACGGUGCUGGGGCUGCUGCUUGACAGGCUGGAGGAGGUCGGGGCGCUGGAGCUGGGGCCCGUCUCCCCAGAGACAGCUGAGCUACAGCGGUGAGUGACACCCCCCACAGCCUCCCCCUCCCUUCCCCUGGCUGUGUCCCCCAUUCACCCCCAUCUCCCCCCAGGGCCUUCUCCUCGGUGAUGUGCUCCUGGCUGGACGGGUACCCCGAGGAUUUCGGAGGGGCCUUGGACCCGGGCCUGGUGGAGCGACUGGGCCGGAGCCUGCAAUGUGCCCUGGGGCAGGGCUCCGAGGCCGAGAGAUGCCUGCUCGCCCUACGGGGGGUGCAGGGAGGGCCCAGCAAUGGAGGUGAGGCGUGACUAGAAUAGGGAUUCUAUUUAAUGGGGGUGGGGAAGCCUGCAGACAGGGGAGGGAGGC